rnacentral:lncRNA from 1 species
GAAAUGGAUUCUCUGACAUCCACAGAGGCCAGAAGUCUGAGGUUUCAAUCAGUGGCUUAGGGCCCAAACUGAUGAUGCCCCUAAAGCCCAGUGAAGACCCUAUCUCCAAAUCCAGUCUACUUCUGUGCUUGUGCAGGCAAGGAAGGCCACAGUAUAUCUCUGUACAUUAAGUAUGAUGAAUGAAGAAACAAAGGCUUUGACUCUAAGUGUCUGCUCAUCAGGAGGAGUUUAGAAGACGAACAAUGCAUACAAGAGAAUCAGUGACAAGGGCAUUCUGCUUAGAGUGCCCCUGGGACAUUUGCAGGAGACCCCACAUCAAUGGCUGCGCAGAAUUAUUUCUGGAUAUACAACAUGGAAACUCCUGAUUCCUUAACUUCUGUGGUACUGGACUUAUUGCCAUGCUAGAUGUUUGGAACAAACAUGAAGAAUUCAGAGGUUUCUGAAUGUCUCACAGCUGAUAUAUGCAACCACACCUGCAGCCUUCAAUCCAGCUUGCUGAGCUUUUAAAACAAGAGAUGACACAUUAGUUCAUCACUCCAAAAGUUUUGAGAAACUUAAAAUAAAACAUUUAUUAUUAUUAUUAUCAGAGAGACAACACAACAAAGCACUGUUUCCCUAUGUGAGAUCUUCUGUUAUCCACAUUCUUUCACUGCAAAUUACUUUUUGACAAUGAACCUGGACCCAGUGUGAAUGUAGACUCAGGUCCAGAAGAGCUAGAGGCCUGUGCAGCCACCUCAGGGGGAAGCCAAUCAGAAGCAAAUGUAGGGAAAGGAGGAGCAAUGAGAACAGAAGCAAGAAGAGGAGGCUGGCUGACCUCAGCCAAAGGCUCACAGCCAAGAAGGUCUCAGGGUAUGCUUGUUUAAAUACCCUACCAUAUAAGGUACAGCUCCAUGAGGUAGCCAUGAGGACCACUUAUAUCCAGGGGAAGUCUGCUGAGCUAAACCAGAAGGCUGGAAUGAGGACCUGUAGCCACCUGAGAAGCCAUAGCCAACGCCUUGGAGGGGUCCGAAUGCAGGUAACAUCCUCCAGCCCCAUGUUAAUGCAGAACAGGCCUGAUCAGCAAGCCAACUAAUCUGAAUGAAAUCCUAUUGAGUUGAACACGGUCAUCACGAGCUUCCCAGAGGCUGUGCAACAGUAUGGACUACCGAACAUAGUCAUGGAUCAGAUUUCUAAUAAAUAUCGUUCUUCAGACUACAUGAAAUGUCUGC